CAGCAGGUUCCAGGAGUGGGUGACAGCCUUAACUUCCCUAAAAGGGAAAAGAAACCACAUUCAUAUUUACAGUAUUGCUCAGGGGGAAAAAUGUCUAAUUGACUGUUGAGUGGAAUUUGAUCCCAAAUUGAUGAGCCUUUGAGGUCUGUGUGUGUACAACCCCAAAUACACAGGUUUGUGUGUGUUCACAGGUGUGCUGGGAUAGAUCUACAGAGAUUCUGGAGUGAUGGGAAUGUAUAGAUACCUACAUGUGUGUAUUUGUGUGCACACACCUCCAGGAUAAAUCCUGUUUAUCAUCUAAAUCUGUAACAGAAAAGCUUGUGCAGUUCCCAGUCAGCCUGGGAACCUCCUUUGAUCUGAGAGGGUUGUUGGGAGUUAUUCUGGAAGCUCUGUGAGCUUUGCAUAUCAAGUGCUGAGAACUCAGGCUUGUUUUUCUAUCAUUAAAAUGUUUGAGCCCUCGAGUUCUGUGAGGCUGGUGGUUUUGGUUUGGGUUCCCCAAAUUAAAUCCCCCUUGGAAUAGCUAAUUUAGCCACUGAGGUGGAUCCUGGUUUGGAGCAGUAGGACCAGAAGUGGUAGGAGCAAACAAUAAUGUUCCAAUUCAGUCACCAGUUUCCUUUAGGAUUUAUUUUACAGCAUCUGCAGGAGCUCAGCUCACUCCACACAAGGACCAGACCUCAUUCCAUGCUGGCACCUGCCUGGGGAAGACAAGGAAUAUCCUCAUCCCCAGCGACUCUGCGGUUCAAGGGACUGGCUGGAGCCUCCCAGUGAGUGGCUUCUGCCUCAUUUCCUACCUGCUGUUCCUUUUGUGGUCACUCUGAAGCAAUUAUUUCAGAUAAUGUGGGAAACAGCCCAUUUGUGAGAGUCCAUCAAGAAAUCAUUAUCCCCCCAGAAGCAAUGGACAGCGUGUCAAACAUGAUUGGGAGGUGUCCUCUAAAUUGCUUUACAUUGGAUACUUGGAGCUGUGCCUUGUAUCAGGUUGGGGCUGGAGUCACUCAGCACUGCUGACACCAUCCACAGCCCUGGGGGAAGGGUCUUUAACUGCCCCCAGCGACCACCACCAGGAUAGAAGGACAUGUCCAAGGAGAAAGGCCAGAAGAAGGGAGGUGCAGAUGGACAGACAUCCUCAAACAGAGCACAAACAGGGAUCUGCUGCUGCUGGUCAGGGAGAGCACCAGGGAAAGCACAGCACAUCCAACCCCUGCAGAGAUUUUGCUCCGUCCAGGAAACCCCUCCAGCAACAGCGUUGUGGGAGUUGCCUCCACACAGGUGUUCAGGCAGAGCCAGCCCCUGGCAAACAGCACCAACAACUCAGACUGAAGUCAGGACCAAAAGGGAGCAAGGAACCAAUUGCAGUCCCUCAUUAGAAAUCACUUCUGCUUAAUUCCUGCAACUGCUUUGGGAGCAACUCCAAUUCCGGAGGCUGGAUCUCCACCUAAGCCCUGUCAUCAGAUGCUCCAGUCACGGGAUGCACUUCCAGCUGGAGUGAUGAACCCUAAUCUCUGUGAUUUGGGAGGACAUUUGGGGACAUGUUCAUCUCUAUGCUGCUUAAUUGCUUUCCUGAAUAGAGGAUUUGAGGAGCUGCAGCUCUUUUAUCCACAGGAGCAGUGUUUUGCUUUAGCCUUCCCUCGGUCCGUGGCACAGGAGUUUGUUGCUGCAGUAGCCACUGGAUAUUGGCAGAAACCAGCAUUUUCUGUACAGUGAGAUGUUCCCAUCCCACAGAACUCAUUUCCCAGCCCAGGGGCUGCAAUGAGGCUCAGCCUUCAAAGUGUCAAACACACUGAAAACGGAAAAAAGCCACGACAGAACCAGCUACAGGGACCUGAGAGGGUCUUCUGGUGGAACCUGAGCCAGCUCUGCAGCCCCACAGCAGGACAGCAAUGCCAGGGGAUAGGAAUGACAGAGCCCACGGCGCGGACACGGCGGAUGGGGACACGUGUGCGGGUCGGUGACAGUCACACCGGGAGCAGCCCCAGCCUGCCAGGCUUGGCACCUGAACAAGCAACACUUCUGGCAGCAGCACAAGGAAUUCAGGCCCUUGCAAGAGGAUUUUCAGGAUGCACAGCACAACCUCUGUAAGUUGUCCAGCAUAAAAUACUGUUCUGCUUUGGGGUUUCAGCAUUUGCAGGAAGGAAGGGAGUUUGAGCCUCUUUAAGACUGAGGAAGGGAAUUACUAUUCAGGUGGAAAAAGAAAUUGCUCAGAAAAUCUGGACACUUUUAUAUCUUUCUUUCUCUCAACUGUAUCUGCAUUUAAGGGCCUUUAGCCUGUAAUAAAAGCAAUUAAUUUCCUGACCAGCUCAGCAAAAUGGAUAAAGAAACACCCUCCAAGGGAGUGAGGAUGUGAAUCCACAUAUUUAACAAAACAGGGGGGAAAUGCU